rnacentral:rRNA from 1 species
AUUGAACGCUGGCGGCAGGCCUAACACAUGCAAGUCGAGCGGUAACACAGAGGAGCUUGCUCCUUGGGUGACGAGCGGCGGACGGGUGAGUAAUGCCUGGGGAUCUGCCCGAUAGAGGGGGAUAACUACGGGAAACUGUAGCUAAUACCGCAUAAUGUCUACGGACCAAAGUGGGGGCUCUUCGGACCUCAUGCUAUCGGAUGAACCCAGGUGGGAUUAGCUAGUUGGUGAGGUAAUGGCUCACCAAGGCGACGAUCUCUAACUGGUUUGAGAGAAUGACCAGUCACACUGGAACUGAGACACGGUCCAGACUCCUACGGGAGGCAGCAGUGGGGAAUAUUGCACAAUGGGCGCAAGCCUGAUGCAGCCAUGCCGCGUGUGUGAAGAAGGCCUUCGGGUUGUAAAGCACUUUCAGCGGGGAGGAAGGGCUACUAGUUAAUACCUAGUGGCAUUGACGUUACUCGCAGAAGAAGCACCGGCUAACUCCGUGCCAGCAGCAGCCGCGGUAA